GAUGAACGCUGGCGGCGUGCCUAAUACAUGCAAGUCGAGCGAACGGACGAGAAGCUUGCUUCUCUGAUGUUAGCGGCGGACGGGUGAGUAACACGUGGAUAACCUACCUAUAAGACUGGGAUAACUUCGGGAAACCGGAGCUAAUACCGGAUAAUAUUUUGAACCGCAUGGUUCAAAAGUGAAAGACGGUCUUGCUGUCACUUAUAGAUGGAUCCGCGCUGCAUUAGCUAGUUGGUAAGGUAACGGCUUACCAAGGCAACGAUGCAUAGCCGACCUGAGAGGGUGAUCGGCCACACUGGAACUGAGACACGGUCCAGACUCCUACGGGAGGCAGCAGUAGGGAAUCUUCCGCAAUGGGCGAAAGCCUGACGGAGCAACGCCGCGUGAGUGAUGAAGGUCUUCGGAUCGUANAACUCUGUUAUUAGGGAAGAACAUAUGUGUAAGUAACUGUGCACAUCUUGACGGUACCUAAUCAGAAAGCCACGGCUAACUACGUGCCAGCAGCCGCGGUAAUACGUAGGUGGCAAGCGUUAUCCGGAAAUUAUUGGCGUAAAGCGCGCGUAGGCGGUUUUUUAGUCUGAUGUGAAAGCCCACGGCUCAACCGUGGAGGGUCAUUGGAAACUGGAAAACUUGAGUGCAGAAGAGGAAAGUGGAAUUCCAUGUGUAGCGGUGAAAUGCGCAGAGAUAUGGAGGAACACCAGUGGCGAAGGCGACUUUCUGGUCUGUAACUGACGCUGAUGUGCGAAAGCGUGGGGAUCAAACAGGAUUAGAUACCCUGGUAGUCCACGCCGUAAACGAUGAGUGCUAAGUGUUAGGGGGUUUCCGCCCCUUAGUGCUGCAGCUAACGCAUUAAGCACUCCGCCUGGGGAGUACGACCGCAAGGUUGAAACUCAAAGGAAUUGACGGGGACCCGCGCAAGCGGUGGAGCAUGUGGUUUAAUUCGAAGCAACGCGAAGAACCUUACCAAAUCUUGACAUCCUUUGACAACUCUAGAGAUAGAGCCUUCCCCUUCGGGGGACAAAGUGACAGGUGGUGCAUGGUUGUCGUCAGCUCGUGUCGUGAGAUGUUGGGUUAAGUCCCGCAACGAGCGCAACCCUUAAGCUUAGUUGCCAUCAUUAAGUUGGGCACUCUAAGUUGACUGCCGGUGACAAACCGGAGGAAGGUGGGGAUGACGUCAAAUCAUCAUGCCCCUUAUGAUUUGGGCUACACACGUGCUACAAUGGACAAUACAAAGGGCAGCGAAACCGCGAGGUCAAGCAAAUCCCAUAAAGUUGUUCUCAGUUCGGAUUGUAGUCUGCAACUCGACUACAUGAAGCUGGAAUCGCUAGUAAUCGUAGAUCAGCAUGCUACGGUGAAUACGUUCCCGGGUCU
rnacentral:rRNA from 1 species